rnacentral:rRNA from 1 species
AACGAACGCUGGCGGCAGGCCUAACACAUGCAAGUCGAACGCCCUGGCAACAGGGAGUGGCAGACGGGUGAGUAACGCGUGGGAACGUGCCCUUCGGUUCGGAAUAACUCAGGGAAACUUGAGCUAAUACCGGAUACGUGCGAGAGCAGAAAGAUUUAUCGCCGAAGGAUCGGCCCGCGUCCGAUUAGCUAGUUGGUGAGGUAACGGCUCACCAAGGCGACGAUCGGUAGCUGGUCUGAGGGGAUGAUCAGCCACACUGGGACUGAGACACGGCCCAGACUCCUACGGGAGGCAGCAGUGGGGAAUAUUGGACAAUGGGCGCAAGCCUGAUCCAGCCAUGCCGCGUGAGUGAUGAAGGCCCUAGGGUUGCAAAGCUCUUUCGCCAGGGACGAUAAUGACGGUACCUGGAUAAGAAGCCCCGGCUAACUUCGUGCCAGCCGCCGCGGUAA